GACAGAGGGUGCAAACGUUGUUCGGAAUUACUGGGCGUAAAGCGUGCGCAGGCGGCUUUCCAAGUCAGUGGUGAAAGCCCGGAGCUCAACUCCGGAAAUGCCAUUGAAACUGUGAAGCUUGAGAACGAGAGAGGUGAGUGGAAUUCCCAGUGUAGAGGUGAAAUUCGUAGAUAUUGGGAAGAACACCAGUGGCGAAGGCGGCUCACUGGCUCGUAACUGACGCUCAUGCACGACAGCGUGGGGAUCAAACAGG
rnacentral:rRNA from 1 species